GACGAACUGGUGCAAACGUUAUUCGGAAUCACUGGCUUGGAAGAGUGCGUAGGCGGUUCGUAAGUAGGUGUGAAAGCCCCAGCUCAACUGGGACUGCGUCCUAAACUGCGAGGCUGGAGUGAGGUAGGGUGUGUGGAACUUCCGGUGGAGCGGUGAAUGUGUUGAUAUCGGAAGGAACGCCGGUGGCGAAAGCGAACACACUGGGCCUUGUCUGACGCUGAGGCACGAAAGCCAGGGAGCAAACGGGA
rnacentral:rRNA from 1 species